rnacentral:rRNA from 1 species
UACGUAGGGAGCAAGCGUUGUCCGGAAUCAUUGGGCGUAAAGCGCGCGUAGGCGGCCCUGUAAGUCCGCUGUGAAAGUCAAAGGCUCAACCUUUGAAAGCCGGUGGAUACUGCAGGGCUAGAGUCCGGAAGAGGCGAGUGGAAUUCCUGGUGUAGCGGUGAAAUGCGCAGAUAUCAGGAGGAACACCGAUGGCGAAGGCAGGUCUCUGGGCUGUAACUGACGCUGAGGAGCGAAAGCAUGGGGAGCGAACAGG